rnacentral:misc_RNA from 1 species
AACGCACAUUGCGCCCGCCAGUAUUCUGGCGGGCAUGCCUGUUCGAGCGUCAUUUCAACCCUCAAGCACUGCUUGGUGUUGGGGCACUACAGGGGCGACAUCGCCCGCGUAGGCCCCUAAAUAUAGUGGCGGACCCGCUGGAAGUCCGAGCGCAGUAGUUUUCUCUCGCUCCGGAGGACCCGGCGGUUGCCUUGCCGUUAAACCCCCCCCUUUCUUAAGGUUGACCUCGGAUCAGGUAGGAAUACCCGCUGAACUUAA